GAUGAACGCUGGCGGCGUGCCUAAUACAUGCAAGUCGAACGAAACUUCUUUAUCACCGAGUGCUUGCACUCACCGAUAAAGAGUUGAGUGGCGAACGGGUGAGUAACACGUGGGCAACCUGCCCAAAAGAGGGGGAUAACACUUGGAAACAGGUGCUAAUACCGCAUAACCAUAGUUACCGCAUGGUAACUAUGUAAAAGGUGGCUAUACUACCGCUUUUGGAUGGGCCCGCGGCGCAUUAGCUAGUUGGUAGGGUAAAGGCUUACCAAGGCAAUGAUGCGUAGCCGAAUUGAGAGGUUGACCGGCCAAAUGGGGACUGAGACACGGCCCAAACUCCUACGGGGGGCAGCAGUAGGGAAUCUUCCCAAAGGGGCGAAAGCCUGAUGGAGCAACCCCGGGUGGGUGAAGAAGGUCUUCGGAUCGUAAAACCCUGUUGUUAGGGAAAAAAGUGCGUGAGAGUAACUGUUCACGUUUCGACGGUAUCUAACCAAAAAGCCACGGCUAACUACGU
rnacentral:rRNA from 1 species